UACAGAGGGUGCGAGCGUUGUCCGGAAUCAUUGGGCGUAAAGGGUGCGUAGGCGGCGCGGUAAGUCGGGUGUGAAAUCUCGGAGCUUAACUCCGAAACUGCAUUCGAUACUGCCGUGCUUGAGGACUGGAGAGGAGACUGGAAUUUACGGUGUAGCGGGUGAAUGCGUAGAUAUCGUAAGGAAGACCAGUGGCGAAGGCGGGGUCUCUGGACAGUUCCUGACGCUGAGGCACGAAGGUCAGGGGAGCAAACGGG
rnacentral:rRNA from 1 species